rnacentral:rRNA from 1 species
UACGUAGGGUGCAAGCGUUAAUCGGAAUUACUGGGCGUAAAGGGCGCGUAGGCGGCCUGCUAAGUCGGAUGUGAAAUCCCUCGGCUCAACCGAGGAACUGCAUCCGAUACUGGCGGGCUUGAAUCCGGGAGAGGGAUGUGGAAUUCCAGGUGUAGCGGUGAAAUGCGUAGAUAAUCGGGAGGAACACCAAUGGCGAAGGCAGCUCGCUGGGACGGUACUGACGACUGA